GUUUCAAUUCCUCAUAGGCAGGCUAUCGGCAUUCAAUCUGCUGUCGAUAAUAAAGACGCAAGUUUAGCG
rnacentral:sRNA from 1 species